UACGUAGGGUGCAAGCAUUAAUCGGAUUUAUUGGGCGUAAAGGGCGCGUAGGCGGGAAUGCCAGUCAAUUGUGAAAUCCCGGGGCUCAACCCCGGAACUGCGAUUGAAACUACAUUCCUAGAGGGUAGGCGGAGAAAACGGAAUUCCACAAGUAGCGGUGAAAUGCGUAGAUAUGUGGAAGAACACCAGUGGCGAAGGCGGUUUUCUAGCUUAUACCUGACGCUGAGGCGCGAAAGCAAGGGGAGCAAACAGG
rnacentral:rRNA from 1 species